GCUCUCAAUACCUUGCUGCCCACACGGCCUGAUGCCUCAUCCCUCUUCGAUUACUGUCCGAUCAGCCUCAUACACCUCGUGGCGAAGCUCUUCGCCAAGGUUCUGUCUCUACGGCUUGCACCGCGCCUCGGUGAGCUCGUGUCCUCCAAUCAGAGUGCUUUCAUUGCUGGGAUGAGCGUCCACGACAACCUCAUCCUCGUCCAACAAACAGCGCACCAACUACAACAA
rnacentral:rRNA from 1 species